ANUGUACCCGAAUAAGGAAGGUCCGGCUAACUUCGUGCCCAGCANCGCGGUAAUACGAAGGGACCUAGCGUANNCGAAUUACUGGGCUUAAAGAGUUCGUAGGUGGUUGAAAAAGUUGGUGGUGAAAUCCCAGAGCUUAACUCUGGAACUGCCAUCAAAACUUUUCAGCUAGAGUAUGAUAGAGGAAAGCAGAAUUUCUAGUGUAGAGGUGAAAUUCGUAGAUAUUAGAAAGAAUACCAAUUGCGAAGGCAGCUUUCUGGAUCAUUACUGACACUGAGGAACGAAAGCAUGGGUAGCGAAGAGGAUUAGAUACCCUCGUAGUCCAUGCCGUAAACGAUGUGUGUUAGACGUUGGAAAUUUAUUUUCAGUGUCGCAGCGAAAGCGAUAAACACACCGCCUGGGGAGUACGACCGCAAGGUUAAAACUCAAAUGAAUUGACGGGGACCCGCACAAGUAGUGGAGCAUGUGGUUUAAUUCGAAGAUACGCGCAGAACCUUACCAACACUUGACAUGUUCGUCGCGACUCUAAGAGAUUAGAGUUUUCGGUUCGGCCGGACGAAACACAGGUGCUGCAUGGCUGUCGUCAGCUCGUGUCGUGAGAUGUUGGGUUAAGUCCCGCAACGAGCGCAACCCUCACUUUUAGUUGCCAUCAUUAAGUUGGGCACUCUGAAAGAACUGCCAGUGAUAAGCUGGAGGAAGGUGGGGAUGACGUCAAGUCCUCAUGGCCCUUACGUGUUGGGCUACACACGUGCUACAAUGGUAUCUACAACAGGAAGCAAGACUGCGAGGUCAAGCAAAUCCUUAAAAGAUACCUCAGUUCGGAUUGCACUCUGCAACUCGAGUGCAUGAAGCUGGAAUUACUAGUAAUCGUGGAUCAGCGUGCCACGGUGAAUGCGUUCCCGGGUCUUGUACACACCGCCCGUCACACCAUGGGAGUUGGUUCUACCUUAAGGCAAGGUUUAAAACCCUUGACCACGGUAUAGUCAGCGACUGGGGUGAAGUCGUAACAAGGUAACCGUA
rnacentral:rRNA from 1 species